UAGGGAAUCUUCCGCAAUGGGCGAAAGCCUGACGGAGCAACGCCGCGUGAGUGAUGAAGGUCUUCGGAUCGUAAAACUCUGUUAUUAGGGAAGAACAAAUGUGUAAGUAACUAUGCACGUCUUGACGGUACCUAAUCAGAAAGCCACGGCUAACUACGUGCCAGCAGCCGCGGUAAUACGUAGGUGGCAAGCGUUAUCCGGAAUUAUUGGGCGUAAAGCGCGCGUAGGCGGUUUUUUAAGUCUGAUGUGAAAGCCCACGGCUCAACCGUGGAGGGUCAUUGGAAACUGGAAAACUUGAGUGCAGAAGAGGAAAGUGGAAUUCCAUGUGUAGCGGUGAAAUGCGCAGGGAUAUGGAGGAACACCAGUGGCGAAGGCGACUUUCUGGUCUGUAACUGACGCUGAUGUGCGAAAGCGUGGGAAUCAAACAGG
rnacentral:rRNA from 1 species